rnacentral:snRNA from 1 species
AUCAUUUAUCAGUCUUCUGGCUAAGGUCAAGUGUAGUUUCUGGUCUUAUCAGUUUAAUAUCUGAUAUAUCCUUCAACCAGGACCAAAAAAAAAAAAAGAAAAAAAGGAAAUCAAA